UUUAUCGGGGGUUUCCGCUUUUGCUUCGUCUCUCAUUUUCUCUUGCUGCCGCGAUGUACGAAGUCUUUUUUGCCUGCCGUGAUGAUUUUGAGGCCUCCCCAGCCAUGUGAAACUGAUUGAAUUCACAGUUCCAUGUUGUAUUUUGUUGUCAUGUCUCCUUGGUUGGCAAUAUAUGAACGUAUCUCAGUCAUGGAAGACGUUGACACUUUUGAAGAGUACAGACAUGGAUUCUCACUAUGACACCCAGGCUGGAGUGCAGUGGCACGAUCAUAGCUGACUACAGCCUCGAAUUUCUGGGCUCAAGCAAGGCUUUCAUCUCAACCUCCCCAAGAGCUGGGAUUACAGAUGGUGUCAGAAGCAGGGUUCAAAGUAGAGCUUUAAUGACCCCCAGAAGUGCUGAGUGAACAAGCAAGGUACCUGCAAGGACCCACUUGUGUCCUUUGAUCUCUCAGAGCAGUGGGUAAGUUCUCUCUCAGAUUUUGGAGUGCCACAGAUUUGUGUUUUGAGCUUUCUGAUUUUCUUUGAGCAAAUUUCUGUUCUAAACUGGGUUUGGAAGUAACAACAGAAACUGGACUGAGUCCAGGGUCAGAUUUGAUCUGGUAAUUAACUGGCUUGGAUCUAGUUAGAGGCCUCUUACAUCUGACUGGGUCAGAAAGAAACUGGUAGUAAAUGGUAAUGUUGUUGGGGUUGUAAAGUUUGGCUUUCGAAAAUUUGCGGGGAUUUUUGUGUUCUACCCCUUUGUUUCAUAGAAAAAUCAUUGGCUAAGGCAAUCAAGGGAACCUGAGAGUAAAGCCAAUAUUUUAGGUAAAAAUGGGAUCCUUAAUUUCUAAAAGACUGAUUUCCUUUCAACUUAAACAUUAGGCUCAGGAAGCAACAAAGUCUUACGGAAAUGGUGAAGUCUUACCAAAGAUAACUUACAGUGGAACAUUCUGAAUGAACAACGAUGUAUUGAAGUGAAUUUAAAAACGAGGGCUCCCAAAAUUACAUCUACUGACUUUUAAGCUUAGUUACUAUUCCGAUCCAAAGGAAAUAGACUGCAACACCAAUUGGCUGACUUUGGAUAAGUAUUGCCGUACAUUUCACCUGAGUAAAGGAUGGGAUUGGGUUAGAGGCCCUCUCCUCAGUAAAGUCCCUCUUGGUUAAAAUGGAUUAAAGGUGACAGGGCCCAACCAGGGGCAAAUUUGACCUUUUCCAGUUCAAUAUUGGGUGCUAACCAGAGUGGCUAAUGUCUAUGUUUUGUCACACAUAUUUUGCUCUGGCCAGAAUGGAAAAUGCUAAUUUGGUUGCUACAUAAAGCUCCUUGGGCAGCAUCUUGCAAAAUGAGGAGGAUUUUGCCUGUGGUUCCAUGAUUUUCCCUUGUGAUGCAGCUUGGUCCCCAGAGGUAUGGUGUGGCAAAGAGGGUUGCUAGGGCUGCUCAUGGAAGAGGAACCCAGAAACCUGACAUGCUGGCAAAAGGGUAAGAAUUUCCUACCAGUCAGGCUUCUGGUCUCUCUUUCUCUGUGCAAACCAGUUGAAUGAAUGACAAAAAUCACUGUUUAUCUCCUCUGUAAAGUUUUGAUUAAUGUGAAAAAGGAUUCUGAGGCUAGUCUUAAACUGUGGUGAAUCUGGUGUAUUUUUGCUAUGAAUUUGUCUUUCUGUGUCAUUCUGUCAUGAAUAGGGGUACCUUAGGAUACCUUAGGAUACAUGGGCUUAGGAUCCCAUAAGCUCACUAUUCAAGGUGGCCCAGCAAGCUGGUCAGUUACAAACUUUGCUGCAGGUCUCUGAAAAAACAAAAGAAAAACUGGAUGAGGUCUGCAUCUUGUUUUAUGUCCUUGGGAGCUUAACCUUGUAACCAUAUGUCAGUACUUUCUUUUGGUUUCUGCCAUUUUACAGUGGUGGCCCAGGUUCAAUCCUGGCUUAGGAAAUGAGUACUUUCUGAUUGGUAUCUGUGUGACAUUUACCAUUUGAUAGUUCUCUUCCCCUCCAUGAACAACUUCUGUCAUCCCUUCUUGAAUUUUUCUGUCUUCAAGCUACCUUCAAAGAUUCUAGAUAUUGUAAAAACUACCUGUGUUCCCAGCCCUAUUUCUUGAAGGAUGCACCCUAAAGCAAGUAAUCCAAUUAAGAAACUUCAAAACUGGCAAGUGAAAAAUCUUACAACUACCAGAUCUUCUUCUGUCUGCCUGUGUAGUUAGGUAUGUGUUGUGUGUGUGAUGUUUAUACAAAAGAACUCUAAUUAACUGGAUUAAAGAAAAAUAAGUGCUUAAAUCAGAUAUUUUGAAAGAAAAAUAAAAACUAAUUCUUUUUAGUUCACAUAACUUUAGUAAUCUUUGGGAAAUAAAAAGUUUUAAAGAUUAUUGGUAAAAUAAGGACAUUUAGUCUAAAUUAGGCAGGUCAGAUAUUAGGUAUUCCAAAGACUUUAAGGUCAUAAACUGCUGUGACUUUUGAAAAUUGUUCAGUUUACCUACCAUGAACACAUUAGAUUCUAGAUAAGGCCUUGGGACGUGUUGAAUUAGCCAUGCCCGCUAGCUAUGCCAAAAAGGUUAUAAAGAAAAGAGUUUAUAUAAGAGAGGAUCCCAUAUGGUAAAUUCAUGUCCUAAAUUAAAAUAACUGGUUGUUUAAAAAGAGGAAUGUUUAGGACAAGCCAGAAAAUCCAAGCAUGUCGUAGACGGUCUGUGUAAGUUGUGAAAUGAUUGAUGAAAGGAAAUGUAUGCACCAAAAGUAAAAGUUCCUAAGAGUUACCAUUAUAACAUGAAAUUAAGACUACUAAAAAAAUAGUUUUAUUAAUACAUGCAAGGUGUAUGAGGAGCGUGAAAUGUGUUUUUGGUUAAAGAUUAUAAGAAGGCAGCCAGGCACUAUGUCUCAAACCUUAAUCCCAGCACUUUGGGAAGCUGAGGUGGGAGGAUCACUUGAGGUCAGGAGUUCAAGACUAGCCUGGUCAACAAGGUGAAACCCCAUCUCUACAAGAAGUACAAAAAUUAGCCCAGUGUGAUGGCACACACCUGUAAUUCCAGAUACUCGGGAGGCUGAGGGAGGAGAAUCUCUUGAACUCCGGAGGUGGAGGUUGCAGUGAGCCAAGAUUGCACCACUGUACUCCUGGUUGAGUGACAUAGUGAGACUCUGUCUCAAAAAAAAAAAAAAAAAAGAUUAUAAGAAGUCAUGGGGAAGUAAAUCUUUGCCAGAGGGUUAGAAGAUUGUUUUAACUUAGAUGAAUCUAAAAAUUUGAACAAGUUGUGGAAGAGUUGUAAAAAUUAACCUUGUAAAAGAAAUUCUCUGUGUGGUAAUUCUGUCUGGGAUAAGUUUCACGUGGUCAUGAUGUGUAAUAUUUUUAAUAUGUUGCUGAGUUUGGGCUGCAAAUAUUUUGUUGACUUUUUGUCUAUAUUCAGAGAAAUAUUGAUACGUGGUUUUCUUUUUUGUGAUAUUUUUGUCUGGAGUUAGCAUUGGGGCAACUCACAAUGAAUUGAAAAUUGUUGCAGCUUCUGAAAUCUUUUUUUUUUUUUUUUUUUAAUUUAUUUUUUUAUUAUACUUUAAGUUUUAGGGUACAUGUGCACAUUGUGCAGGUUAGUUACAUAUGUAUACAUGUGCCAUGCUGGUGCGCUGCACCCACUAACUCGUCAUCUAGCAUUAG